rnacentral:rRNA from 1 species
UACAGAGGGUGCAAGCGUUGUCCGGAAUCACUGGGCGUAAAGGGCGCGUAGGCGGCCCGAUAAGUAGGGGGUGAAAUCUUGCGGCUCAACCGCAAGGCUGCCUUCUAGACUGUCGGGCUUGAGCACAGUAGAGGCAGGUGGAAUUCCCGGUGUAGCGGUGAAAUGCGCAGAUAUCGGGAGGAACACCAAUUGCGAAGGCAGCUCGCUGGGACGUCACUGACGCUGAGACGCGAAAGUGUGGGGAUCAAACAGG